rnacentral:lncRNA from 1 species
AGUGCACGGAAGAAUGAGUUGAUAGUUGUGCUAUCGCGUGCUGUAGUUCACCGCAAUUCAACACUACGCUGGACGGACUGUUGGUGCAGUCGAUGCGGCGUGAACGGACACGAAGGAGCGCUCGCCUCAGAACGGAUGUCACAAUUUCCAGAGACGGAGGCAUCUCUGCACCACAAAGGAGACUGCGGCACUAUGCAGCCUGAACAGCACGACAAAGCAUCUGAUCUGCCUGCUUUGACAAGAUGUGGCUGGGCCUGCAGAAAGAGUGUAAGCAGACUACUGUGUUGCUGAUCAGUGCUGGUGCUGAUCUCUACGUCUGAGUUGGCCUCACGACGUCCAGGCACCACUGUGCUUUGCUUCAUUGACAAGGUAA